rnacentral:lncRNA from 1 species
AAAAGGUCACCAGAGCUAACAAAUGGGAGAACUGGGAUGUUAAGCCAAGAUCUGUCUGCCUCCGGACCCCAGCUUCAGAAAAGAGAUGAGCUUCAGAGACAUUGGAAAAGAACUCUGCUUGAGAAAGAAGAUCGUCCACCAGCAGGAAGACAAGCAUAGACAGUGGGCUACAGAAAAAAGUGUCUGUUCUGAGGAACAAUAGAAUGAACUGAAUGGAUAAAACAAGUUUUAUGGACAACUCAGACGUCAGUGUCUUCACAUUAUGAUACUUCAUCAGACAUUGGUAGUCUGAUUUCAGGUUUUCAUAUGAGAAUGGAGUUAAUAAUGGGACUUGGAUUCAAUACUCUAUUGAGGUAUGAUGUGUUUUUUCCUGUACUGACGGGGUUCAAACCAUGCUACUCCAAAAUAUGGCACCUUGGCAUUUGAGGAAACAGCAGAAUCAGGAAGACUGCUUUCACUUUCUCCUUGCCUUUCUUCCCUGAAGCAAUUCAUAAGACCUACAUUUGAGAGGUGCCAUUCCUAUACCCAGAGGAAAGGAAUAUCUUUAUCUUUGAAGACAUAGGUACACGGAGAAGAAUCUACAAAAGCAAGACUAGCUAACCCCCACCCCCAACCUGUUAGUUAUUGUCUAAUCAUAUUUCUUCAUGACCAUUCACUUUUUAAAAUCAAAAAUAACAUAAAAAAUAUACAGGUUUACUUACUUCUUUAGGUUCUCAUUUCCUUACAAAGGCUUCU